CCUACGGGAGGCAGCAGUGAGGAAUAUUGGUCAAUGGGCUUACGCCUGAACCAGCCAAGUCGCGUGAGGGAAGACUGCCCUAUGGGUUGUAAACCUCUUUUGUCAGGGAGCAACGCCGGCUACGUGUAGCCGGACUGAGAGUACCUGAAGCACAAGCAUCGGCUAACUCCGUGCCAGCAGCCGCGGUAAUACGGAGGAUGCGAGCGUUAUCCGGAUUUAUUGGGUUUAAAGGUUGCCUAGGCGGAAUGCCAAGUGAGCGGUAAAAUAGCGGGGCUCAACCUCGCUCCGCCGUUGAAACUGGAGUUCGUGAGUGGGUGAGAAGGAUGCGGAAUGCGUGGUGUAGCGGUGAAAUGCAGAGAUAUCACGCAGAACUCCGAUUGCGAAGGCAGCAUACCGGCGCCCGACUGACGCUGAGGCACGAAAGCGUGGGGAUCGAACAGGAUUAGAUACCCUAGUAGUC
rnacentral:rRNA from 1 species